AUUCUUACACACAAUUUUUACACACUUAAAUAUUACAAGUUAUUUCCUUCAAAUUUAAAGGAUUUGGCGGUAUUUUAGUCCUGUUAGAGGAACCUGUUUUAUAAACGACACACCACGCAAAAUCUUACCUAUUUUUACAGCUUGUAUACCGUCAUUAUUAGAUAACUCCUUCUGAAUGAUUAGUUAUUAAGUUAAACAAUUGUUUUUUAUAUUAGAUCAAGGUGCAGCCUAUAAAUAGGUAUUUUAUGGGUUACAAUAAAACUUAUUUACACGAACUUAAAAUUUAAAUAUUUUAAUAAAGGAGAAUUUAAUAGUAAAUUAAGUUUAAUAAGCUAAUUUGGUAAUGGAUAUAAAUUAAGUACAUAUUGCCCGUCACUUUCAUCUAUAAGUGAAAUAAGUCGUAACAUAG
rnacentral:rRNA from 1 species